rnacentral:misc_RNA from 1 species
AAGUCGUAACAAGGUUUCCGUAGGUGAACCUGCGGAAGGAUCAUUAACAAAUUCAAACACUGACGUCCCACUUGGCUGCUUUUACUGGUUCUCACAAGGAACCUUUAACGGCAUCAAGUGGUGUACACACAUACACACUUUGAUUGACAACACCUAGUGAUUAUCUAGUUAAUUUGUAGACAACUUUUAACAAUGGAUCUCUUGGCUCUU